UAGCGAGCGAGCGAAGUGAAACAACGAGCGAGCGAGCAAAGGGAAAGGGAAACGAGUCCGCGUCCACCUAGAGCGUCCCACCUCACUCGUCUCUUCCUCCUCCCACCUUAGAACCCUAGCCACCGGCUCCUCCUCCUCACACCUCAGCCGCCUCCCCCUGUCCCCUCCCUUUCCCCCCAAUCUCAUCCACCCCGGGUGCGGAGGCGAGCUUCCCGGCGACGGUGGCGCUGGCUCGAGGCGGCCACGCAUCCACUCCUCCAUCUCCUUCUCUCCCUUCCGCCUCCUCUUGUCGCAGCUCUACCUCCCCGCCUGGCAGCGGCCAAAGAAGGGCUGCUCCGCCCCCUCCUCUGCCUCUCUUCCUGAGCAUGGCCUCGAUCUAGAGCAGGAGAGGCCAGGAGUGCAACCUCAAUCUGGAGAAGGGCAGCAGCCGCCAGCCGAUUCCGGCCCACUCCAGCAACCCGAGCGGGCCAGCACCUUCCCGUGCUCUCCUAUCGUUCCUCUACCAUGUCCAUUGAUCCUCCAACAUCAUCCCCGACUAUCCCCGGCCGUUCGGACUACUGGUGUGGGGUGUUGCCAUGGAUGCCGGCGGGGUGCCCACAUCUCUGACGCCUUCCGCGUUGCCUACGGGGCAUCCACCUCAUGGGUGGGGGAAAAAGAGGGACUCUUUGGCGAUGGAGAGCUUGGGAUUCAUCACCCCCAACUGAAUCUACCCUGCUAUCACAUGUUCCCUCCUCCUGGUCUUAUAUUGCCACGAAAUUUCCCAUUGCCUUGCAGUUUGUUUGAUUCAUUGAUUUUGCUAUCCUAUAGUCCUGCAUGGGUCCCCGUCCCCAGGCAAACCAAUCUCAGUGGAGUCAUGGAGAUCAAAAGAUUUUUCCAUGUUGAUAUAAUUCUAUAAAUUAUAUAUUUUUUUCCUGGAGAGUAACUUGUGUAAUCUUUGAAAGCAGCCUUUGCAUGUUUAUGGCUUUUCAGCCUCAUGCUUAUGGUGCGGCUACGUGGAUGCCGGUGACAAGUACGACCGCUCUCUACUCGCCUCUAAUAUAUUGGCUUAACUCCCUCGAGAAAAGGAGUCUUUGCAAGAUGUGAAAUAGCCGCUUGGUGGACGUGCCCGGAUUUAUGAAUUAAGCUAUCUGAUGCUGACGGUGGUUUCACGUCAUUGGAUGUUCGUGGACCUCGUGGAGUCAGCCGUAGUAGUACCUGGUCUGGUACAUUUUAUAUGAUGUGUGCGUCGACCCAAGUUGGUUCAUCGCAAGGAAACCGGCGGGAAGCACGCCACCAUAGGGGAAGGGCGGGGGAGACAUGGUGGCGGCUAGCUGGGGCAAGCUGCGAAUGCCCAUCGGCGACUUUCGUUGGGGUCCAUCCCAUUCUUCCUCCUCACUCCGAUGCCAAAACCAGUAGGUGCAACAAGAAGGUCAAGCACCAACGAGGUGCACAUCCACACAUGGGUGGCGUGAACAGAUGGCUACCCCAAGAUAAUCUGAACUAGCUUCUAGCAUCCGAUGAGAAACCAAGCCAGUUUCUCAGCAUGGCAGAUAACUCUCUAGACAUGAUCAUGUCUCUAGCAAUUGUGGGAAGGGGGCAUGGCGCACUGUUUCACCUUCAGGAGAGAAUUGCAGUGUCUUAUUUUGUCCAUUUUUCCUGCAUGAGUUGUGAUGUCAAGAGAUUUAGAAUAGGCUCUUUGCUCUAUAUUCUGAAAUAAUAGUCAUGUGUCAUGUAUCAUCCUUCGGUGAUGUUUAGGUCUAGAUGUGGGUCUUUUCGUCCAUAAAAAACCGUGAAGUUGUAUGUGCAUUUCCUUCUAUGCAUCUCUGCAGAUAUUUGAUUGAUGCAAAUAUGUACUUUGAAUUCUUA